rnacentral:rRNA from 1 species
UACGAAGGGGGCUAGCGUUGCUCGGAAUCACUGGGCGUAAAGCGCACGUAGGCGGAUUGCUAAGUCAGGGGUGAAAUCCUGGAGCUCAACUCCAGAACUGCCUUUGAUACUGGCGAUCUUGAGUCCGGGAGAGGUGAGUGGAACUGCGAGUGUAGAGGUGAAAUUCGUAGAUAUUCGCGAGAACACCAGUGGCGAAGGCGGCUCACUGGCCCGGUACUGACGCUGAGGUGCGAAAGCGUGGGGAGCAAACAGG